CAGUGUACAGGUACUGGAGGUUUGCUAAACAAAAAGUUAAACAUGCAAUUGAAAGUAUGAAACAGCUUUACAAACUCAAAUUGCUGUAAGAUACAUUCACAUGUCAUUGGGACUAAUGUUUCAUAUGCUUAUAAAAUAUGCAGAUAAUAGGCUGGGAGAGGUUGCAGAGGAUAGGAUUAGAAUGAUCCUGAUAAACUGGAGAAUUGCUCUGAAACCAACAAGAUUAAAUUAAAUAAAGACAAAUACAAAGUACUGAACUUAAGAAGAAAAAAAAAAUCAAAUUCACAAUAUAAAGUGGGAAAUAACUGGCUAGGUAGCAGCACUGCAGAAAAGAAUUUAUGGGUUAUAGUGGGUCACAAUUUGAAGUUUAGUCAACAGCGUGAUGCUGUGGUGAAAAAGCUGUUGGGGGUAAUGAGAAGUAUCA